UACAGGGGGGUGCAAGCGUUAAUCGGAAUUACUGGGCGUAAAGGGCGCGUAGGUGGUUAUUUAAGUCAGAUGUGAAAUCCCUGGGCUUAACCUAGGAAUUGCAUUUGAAACUAGAUGGCUAGAGUAUGGUAGAGGGAAGUGGAAUUUCCGGUGUAGCGGUGAAAUGCGUAGAUAUCGGAAGGAACACCAGUGGCGAAGGCGACUUCCUGGACCAUUCUGACACUGAGGCGCGAAAGCGUGGGGAGCGAACAGG
rnacentral:rRNA from 1 species